GGGGAAUAUUGCACAAUGGGCGCAAGCCUGAUGCAGCCAUGCCGCGUGUAUGAAGAAGGCCUUCGGGUUGUAAAGUACUUUCAGCGGGGAGGAAGGGAGUAAGGUUAAUAACCUUAUUCAUUGACGUUACCCGCAGAAGAAGCACCGGCUAACUCCGUGCCAGCAGCCGCGGUAAUACGGAGGGUGCAAGCGUUAAUCGGAAUUACUGGGCGUAAAGCGCACGCAGGCGGUCUGUCAAGUCGGAUGUGAAAUCCCCGGGCUCAACCUGGGAACUGCAUUCGAAACUGGCAGGCUGGAGUCUUGUAGAGGGGGGUAGAAUUCCAGGUGUAGCGGUGAAAUGCGUAGAGAUCUGGAGGAAUACCGGUGGCGAAGGCGGCCCCCUGGACAAAGACUGACGCUCAGGUGCGAAAGCGUGGGGAGCAAAC
rnacentral:rRNA from 1 species